rnacentral:rRNA from 1 species
GUCGAGUUCACGUACGGAUACUGGGCGUAAGCGCGCGUAGGCGGUUUUUUAAGUCACGAUGUGAAUCCCCGGGCUCAACCUGGGAACUGCAUUUGAUACUGGAGAACUUGAAUGCGGUGGAGGGAAGUGGAAUUUCCCGUGUAGCGGUGAAAUGCGUAAAUAUUCUGAAGAACACCCGUGGCGAAAGCGACUUUCUGGUCUGAAACUGACGCUGAAGCUCGAAAGCGUGGGGAUCAAACAGGAUUAAAUACCCCCCGUAGUCCAA